UACGUAGGGGGCGAGCGUUGUCCGGAUUUACUGGGCGUAAAGGGCGUGCAGGCGGUCUGUUAAGUUCAGGGUGAAAGCUCCCGGCUCAACUGGGAGAGGUCCUUGGAUACUGGCAGACUUGAGGGAGGUAGAGGAGAGUGGAAUUCCCGGUGUAGUGGUGAUAUGCGUAGAUAUCGGGAGGAACACCAGUGGCGAAGGCGGGUUGCUGGGCUGACACUGACGCUGAAACGCGAAAGCUAGGGGAGCGAACGGG
rnacentral:rRNA from 1 species